GAGUUUGAUCCUGGCUCAGAUUGAACGCUGGCGGCAUGCCUUACACAUGCAAGUCGAACGGCAGCAUGAUCUAGCUUGCUAGAUUGAUGGCGAGUGGCGAACGGGUGAGUAAUACAUCGGAACGUGCCCUGUAGUGGGGGAUAACUAGUCGAAAGAUUAGCUAAUACCGCAUACGACCUGAGGGUGAAAGUGGGGGACCGCAAGGCCUCAUGCUAUAGGAGCGGCCGAUGUCUGAUUAGCUAGUUGGUGGGGUAAAGGCCCACCAAGGCGACGAUCAGUAGCUGGUCUGAGAGGACGAUCAGCCACACUGGGACUGAGACACGGCCCAGACUCCUACGGGAGGCAGCAGUGGGAAUUUUGGACAAUGGGCGAAAGCCUGGUCCAGCAAUGCCGCGUGUGUGAAGAAGGCCUCGGUUGUAAG
rnacentral:rRNA from 1 species